rnacentral:misc_RNA from 1 species
AAGUUAUAAUAAGGUUUCUAUAGGUAAACCUAUAGAAAGAUUAUUACCUUUCUAGCUAUUUAAUAGCUUAUUAGGGGGCUAUAGUCUCUAUAGCCUCUAACUAAAUCUAUAUUUUUACGUACUACAUGUUUCCUUAGUAGGCUUACUUACUAGUUAGAUAACCUAAAGCUCUUUAUAAUUAUAAUUAGCAUCUAAAUUAUUUAAUAAUUAUAA